AACGAACGCUGGCGGCAGGCUUAACACAUGCAAGUCGAGCGCCCCGCAAGGGGAGCGGCAGACGGGUGAGUAACGCGUGGGAAUCUACCCAUCUCUACGGAAUAACGCAUGGAAACGUGUGCUAAUACCGUAUACGUCCUUCGGGAGAAAGAUUUAUCGGAGAUGGAUGAGCCCGCGUUGGAUUAGCUAGUUGGUGGGGUAAAGGCCUACCAAGGCGACGAUCCAUAGCUGGUCUGAGAGGAUGAUCAGCCACACUGGGACUGAGACACGGCCCAGACUCCUACGGGAGGCAGCAGUGGGGAAGAUUGGACAGUGGGCGCAAGCCUGAUCCAGCCAUGCCGCGUGAGUGAUGAAGGCCUUAGGGUUGUAAGCUCUUUCGCCGGUGAAGAUAAUGACGGUAACCGGAGAAGAAGCCCCGGCUAACUUCGUGCCAGCCGCCGCAGUAACAC
rnacentral:rRNA from 1 species